AGCGAACGCUGGCGGCAGGCCUAACACAUGCAAGUCGAACGGACCCUUCGGGGUUAGUGGCGGACGGGUGAGUAACACGUGGGAACGUGCCUUUAGGUUCGGAAUAGCUCCUGGAAACGGGUGGUAAUGCCGAAUGUGCCCUUCGGGGGAAAGAUUUAUCGCCUUUAGAGCGGCCCGCGUCUGAUUAGCUAGUUGGUGAGGUAACGGCUCACCAAGGCGACGAUCAGUAGCUGGUCUGAGAGGAUGACCAGCCACACUGGGACUGAGACACGGCCCAGACUCCUACGGGAGGCAGCAGUGGGGAAUCUUGCGCAAUGAGCGAAAGCCUGACGCAGCCAUGCCGCGUGAAUGAUGAAGGUCUUAGGAUUGUAAAAUUCUUUCACCGGAGACGAUAAUGACGGUACCCGGAGAAGAAGCCCCGGCUAACUUCGUG
rnacentral:rRNA from 1 species